rnacentral:rRNA from 1 species
CGGAGGAUCCAAGCGUUAUCCGGAAUCAUUGGGUUUAAAGGGUCCGUAGGCGGUUUAGUAAGUCAGUGGUGAAAGCCCAUCGCUCAACGGUGGAACGGCCAUUGAUACCGCUAGACUUGAAUUAUUAGGAAGUAACUAGAAUAUGUAGUGUAGCGGUGAAAUGCUUAGAGAUUACAUGGAAUACCAAUUGCGAAGGCAGGUUACUACUAGUUGAUUGACGCUGAUGGACGAAAGCGUGGGUAGCGAACAGGAUUAGAUACCCUGGUAGUCCACGCCGUAAACGAUGGAUACUAGCUGCUGGGGGCAACUUCAGUGGCUAAGCGAAAGUGAUAAGUAUCCCACCUGGGGAGUACGGGCGCAAGCCUG